rnacentral:rRNA from 1 species
GAUGAACGCUGGCGGCGUGCUUAACACAUGCAAGUCGAACGGAAAGGCCUCAGCUUGCUGGGGUGCUCGAGUGGCGAACGGGUGAGUAACACGUAGGUGAUCUGCCUUUCACUUCGGGAUAAGCUUGGGAAACUGGGUCUAAUACCGGAUAUUCACGGCACCGUGGUUGGUGUGGUGGAAAGCUUUUGCGGUGGGAGAUGAGCUUGGGGCCUAUCAGCUUGUUGGUGGGGUAAUGGCCUACCAAGGCGGCGACGGGUAGCCGGCCUGAGAGGGUGUGCGGCCACAUUGGGACUGAGAUACGGCCCAGACUCCUACGGGAGGCAGCAGUGGGGAAUUUUGCACAAUGGGCGGAAGCCUGAUGCAGCGACGCCGUGUGGGGGAUGAAGGCCUUCGGGUUGUAAACUCCUUUCGUCAGGGACGAAGUUUGUUUGACGGUACCUGGAUAAGAAGCACCGGCUAACUACGUG